GACGAACGCUGGCGGCGUGCCUAACACAUGCAAGUCGAACGCUUCUUUCCUCCCGAGUGCCUGCACUCCAUUGGAAAGAGGGGUGGCGGACGGGUGAGUAAGACUUACGUAACCUACCCAGCAGAGAGGGAGAACACUGGGAAACAGGCGAUAAUACAUCAUAACUGUAUAUGCCGCAUGGCAUAAGAGUGAAAGGCGCUUACGGUUGUUGCCCUGGGAAGGACCCGCGGUGCAUUAGCUAGGUGGAAAGGUAACGGUACACCAAGGCCACGAUGCAUAGAUGGGCUGUGAGGAUGAGCAGACACACUGGCAGUGAGACACGGUCCAGAAUCCUACGGGAUGCAGCAGUGGGGAACAUUGCAACAUGGCGGGAAUGCUGAUGCAUCUAUGAUGCGUGAACUAUGAAGUUCGUGGAGUAGUAAAGCGUUAGUAACUGGGAGGAUAAUGACGGUACCUAACGAGAAAGCCACGGCUAACUACGUG
rnacentral:rRNA from 1 species